AAUCCAUAGGUUAAUGAGGCGAACCGGGGGAACUGAAACAUCUAAGUACCCCGAGGAAAAGAAAUCAACCGAGAUUCCCCCAGUAGCGGCGAGCGAACGGGGAGGAGCCCAGAGCCUGAAUCAGCAUGUGUGUUAGUGGAAGCGUCUGGAAAGGCGCGCGAUACAGGGUGACAGCCCCGUACACAAAAGCGCAUGUGCUGUGAGCUCGAUGAGUAGGGCGGGACACGUGGUAUCCUGUCUGAAUAUGGGGGGACCAUCCUCCAAGGCUAAAUACUCCUGACUGACCGAUAGUGAACCAGUACCGUGAGGGAAAGGCGAAAAGAACCCCGGCGAGGGGAGUGAAAAAGAACCUGAAACCGUGUACGUACAAGCAGUGGGAGCACAGGUUUACCUGUGUGACUGCGUACCUUUUGUAUAAUGGGUCAGCGACUUAUAUUCUGUAGCAAGGUUAACCGAAUAGGGGAGCCGGAGGGAAACCGAGUCUUAAUUGGGCGUUAAGUUGCAGGGUAUAGACCCGAAACCCGGUGAUCUAGCCAUGGGCAGGUUGAAGGUUGGGUAACACUAACUGGAGGACCGAACCGACUAAUGUUGAAAAAUUAGCGGAUGACCUGUGGCUGGGGGUGAAAGGCCAAUCAAACCGGGAGAUAGCUGGUUCUCCCCGAAAGCUAUUUAGGUAGCGCCUCGUGAAUUCAUCUCCGGGGGUAGAGCACUGUUUCGGCUAGGGGGCCAUCCCGGCUUACCAACCCGAUGCAAACUGCGAAUACCGGAGAAUGUUAUCACGGGAGACACACGGCGGGUGCUAACGUCCGUCGUGAAGAGGGAAACAACCCAGACCGCCAGCUAAGGUCCCAAAGUCAUGGUUAAGUGGGAAACGAUGUGGGAAGGCCCAGACAGCCAGGAUGUUGGCUUAGAAGCAGCCAUCAUUUAAAGAAAGCGUAAUAGCUCACUGGUCGAGUCGGCCUGCGCGGAAGAUGUAACGGGGCUAAACCAUGCACCGAAGCUGCGGCAGCGAACGUAUCACUUAAAGCGAUUCAGCGGGUUACGAUUGACGGAGCGAAGCGACGUCAAAGCGUAUACAAAGUCGAGUCGGUUUAAGGAUACGUUCGUUGGGUAGGGGAGCGUUCUGUAAGCCUGUGAAGGUGGCCUGUGAGGGUUGCUGGAGGUAUCAGAAGUGCGAAUGCUGACAUAAGUAACGAUAAAGCGGGUGAAAAGCCCGCUCGCCGGAAGACCAAGGGUUCCUGUCCAACGUUAAUCGGGGCAGGGUGAGUCGACCCCUAAGGCGAGGCCGAAAGGCGUAGUCGAUGGGAAACGGGUUAAUAUUCCCGUACUUGGUGUUACUGCGAAGGGGGGACGGAGAAGGCUAUGUUGGCCGGGCGACGGUUGUCCCGGUUUAAGCGUGUAGGUGUGUGUUCCAGGUAAAUCCGGUUCACUUUAACACUGAGGCGUGACGACGAGGCACUACGGUGCUGAAGCAACAAAUGCCCUGCUUCCAGGAAAAGCCUCUAAGCAUCAGGUAACAUCAAAUCGUACCCCAAACCGACACAGGUGGUCAGGUAGAGAAUACCAAGGCGCUUGAGAGAACUCGGGUGAAGGAACUAGGCAAAAUGGUGCCGUAACU
rnacentral:rRNA from 1 species